AUCAUAAAGAAUUAAAUACACGGUUUUAUAAUUAUAAUGGACAAUUAAAAGAUAGUUUUAGUUUAGAUAAUUUAUAACUAUGACUCUUAUUUUUUCUAAUAUUAAUUAAAUUGUAACUAUUGUCAUAAAUUUUUUUUAUUAAAUGCUAUUUACAUGUCAUCAAUUGAUGUUGUAAAAUUGCUAAAUGGACAAAUUAAAAAAAUUCAUUUUGAGACCAGCUUUAUUAUAUUUAUUUACAUUUAUAUAGAUGUAGAUAUAGACAUAGAUCGAUCUAGAUAUAGAUAUAGAUGUCCAGCCUAAUAUGUGCAGUUCAAAUACAUUGCAUAAGUCCACCCAGGCAUGUGAAACCUAUAAUUUCUCAACUCCUUCCUGUGACUACAAAGAUUUCCAUUUAAACUAAAAGGUUCAAAAGUUCAAGAACAGGUAACAAGAUACAUAAUAGCAUAAUGAGCUUGUAUUAUCGGUUCUUUUGCCCAUAUGUAGAUAGUCAAAAGUUACAAACCACAAAAUUAGUUUUUUU
rnacentral:misc_RNA from 1 species